CGUACUGUGAGGAGCAACUUCUUUCAGUUGCUCUCCUUCUCUUCCUCCCUGGCUCAUUCUACAAGUAAGCUUCAUUCCAUUUCUGAUGUUCCCUUCCAUGUCAGGUAUGACUGCCUCUUGCAUGCUCUAGCCUCUGGGGCUUCUUAACCUUGUCAUCUUUUUUUUUUUUUUUUUUUUUUUUCAUGUGGGCCAGGCCUCCUCCUCUUUCCCUUGACUCUGUGUUUCCUUUCCUUCUCCCUUUCCUUGCAUCCCAGCUCAUCACCCUGAAUUUGCUCUGCUUCACCCUCUACUCUGCCUCUCAUGUCCUUCCCCAAGAAGUUUUUGAACCAGAUCCACCCUCAGUACUUUUGUUUCUCCAAGUUGAUCUUUGUUGAUUUCCUGCUGCUGCAGUAGUAUAAUAGCAUGGGACACUUGAAGCACAAAGCUUAGUCUUGGUGUGAGUUUCUGCACUGGGCUUUGACCCUGCCUGGCAAAACUGGUGCCUUUUGUGAGGGGGAAGUUCUGCCCUCCUUCUUAGAGUCUUGCAGUAAAUGCACUCAAGCAUCGCAGUAUGUGUGGUGUGGUUUGCUUUAGGUUUGAACUUGGUCAGCAAGGAUGAAAUUUGUGAAGAUAGUAGCAACUAAAUCUGUCAGUUGUGCCCUUUCUUAUAUUUUCAAAUUAUUACUUUUUUUUUUAAUCAUAUUUGUCAGAUUUUUAUCUGGAUACCAAAAAGCAUAUUCCUUGUAUAAAUAUUGCCAUGGUAAUAUUUAAAGGCAUGGCAUAUUAAAACAUGCCUCUGUGUGUUUUACAAAGGUUUAGGAUUUUAUGAUAGUUAAAACUUUGUCCUAAGUUUGUUUUCUAGAAAUAGGUUGUUGUUAGAAAGAAAAAAGAAGGUUUUAACAUUUCUCUUUUUAAAUCUCAUAUAUGUUGUUACAUAGAUUUUUUGAAACUUCACCAAGAUAAUAACUAAAUAAAUAUGGAUUUUAGAAUAGGAAAUAAUUCGCAAUUACGGAGAGUACUACUGGGAUUCUAUGCAGUUUAUAAAAGGAUAAGUUAGAUUUUCCAAUGGACAAAAGCAAAGCAGAUCAGUUUUGUUGUUGAACUUGUCUUUUAACUUAAAACAUAGCUUUAGACAAAUAAGAACCAAGUAAUAUUUUAUUUGUAUAAGAUAAACAUUUCCCUAUUUUUAAUUCAAGCCAACUUAUUAAAAAAACCCAAACCAUAAAAUUUUCACUGGUACAUUAGCCAAAUUAUAUAGCUUUGUUCUAAUCCAUGAUGCAUAAAAUGAAAUAAAAGAAAGAAAAAAGAAUAGGUUCCAAAUACAAAAUACCAACAAAGAAUUAAAGGCAAAUUGAUUUUUAGCUGGAGAUUUUAUUCGUCUGGCGUAAAACUUUUAACCAGUGGCAGGCAUAAAUACCACUGGGUAUGAUCUGUGUCCACAUGCCAAAGUGUACUAUAUAUUUGGUUAAUAACUAUUUGCUCUACAUUUGAUUCUUUUUGUCUUACAUUUAUAUUGUUGGCUGCUGUAAAUUAAGUAAAAUCUUGUUUCCUAAGAUUAUUACACUCCUUGACCUGUUCAUGAUGUAUUUUUUUUUCCAGUUUUUACAGCAUGUAUAUAUUAAACCAUUAGCUCGUGAGUAUUAGGGGUCCACCUUUAAAUGCAAAUGAUGUUAGUGCUGGUUUACAAAUUUUCUGGAAGGCAAAAGAAUCAUGAAACAGCAAACUGUAUUUCCUUGUAUGCCACAAAAACAACAACAGCAAGAAAAAUCUCCUGAAGCAACAAAUAGAUAUCGAUUGAAAUAUCUAAUAUCUGCUCACUGCUAGGCAGAGAUAGUACUGAGCCAUGCUUACAAGAUCUGUGCUGUUCCAGAGCCCACUAAAUAGAUUCAGAAGCACAUAACUUUUAUGAGGGAAGUAAUUGCAUUACAAAUAUCCUGCUUCGAUUUACUCCUUGGCACAAACAGUUUAAAGAUAUUAUGAACAGCAGAAAAAAUGAUGAAAGCUAAAAGUGGGAUUUUGUGAUGUGCUUUGGAAGUUCUUCUGUAUUAUGAGACUAGACCUUUUUAAUUUACGGUAAAUCAAUUUUUUAGUGUUAAAGGUAAACAAAUAAAAAAGUAAACAUGCUUGCAGGGAUUAAAUAAUUCUUUCCACUUUUGGCAGUGUUGUGAAUCCUUUUUCGUUUCUCAUCAGCAUGGAGCCUAAUAUGGGGAUUCAGCUGUUUGCUUGGGCAUCACAAGGAGUGCUAUAGAAAGGGGACUUAGGAAUCACCCUGUGCCUUUUCUUUUAUGAGGGGCUUCCCCUUUCGGAAAUAAAGGCAUAUUUUUAUUUUUAAUUUUCUUUUCCACUCCAGCUGACAUGCUGUCUGACCUGGCGAUAGCAUGAUUCUGAACUGUGUCUUCAUUCUACCAGCAUUGUUAGCACUAGAUCCUUUAGCUGGACUUGGAGGGAGCUCCUGAUGAAAGCCCCUGCACAUUUAUUAGAACAAAAUGGUGCAAACAAUUUGGGGUAAGGUGAUGGGAAUUUACUAGCUGUUUGGUGGUGGUGAUGGGGAGGCUUGUUUUUCCCUUGAGAUGGUGAGUGGGUCUGAAUCACCAUAAUAAAGUGCUUCAGGGUUGUUUCACAAUCUCUGGUUGCUCUCUCAUGGCAUAUGAAAAUAGACAUUAUUGUUGUUUCCAUGUUCUUACAGUUUCUCAGGAGUCUGGGAAUGCAUUUGUCAUUUCUUCCACUGUUUCCUUCUCUUCUUUUUAAUUCUUAGGCAUAAGAGGUACUAAAACCCCCACAUCUAUUAGGCCUUCUGCAGAUGGCCUCUGUCACCAUCUCUGCCAUUUAAUACAGGGCCCUUUUUAAGUCUACAAUAAGGUUUCCCUGGAGCCUUCUCUUCUCCAAGUUGGACAACCUCAAUUCUCUCAGCCUGUCCUCACAGCUGAGGUGUUCCAGCCCUCUGAUCAUUUUUGUGGCCUCCUCUGAACCCUCUCCAAAAGGCCCAUGUCUUUCCUGUACUGAGGAUGAAAAGGAGAAGAUACGCUAUUUAAGCUGUAUAAUUUCUCCCUCAUUUUUUGUAGUCUAGCACAACAUACUAAAUUCACAGAACUUUAAAAGAAAGAAAAUUUGCUUGAAACUUUGAAGAAAAGGUUGCUCUAUUCCUGAACAAAGAAAAGUUUGUAGUAAUGGAAUGUUCAUAUGGAUAUCUUGUGCAGUCUUAAAACUAUUUUCAUAAUUUCUACAAAAAUUAUAUAUUUCUAAAAAUUUGGAGUUGCCUGUUUACUUAACUAGGACUCAUUACUCUGAAGAAACUAAUUUGCUUGUCUUUGAGACAGGAUAGAAGGAAUCCAUGAUUCACCUAUUAGGCAUACUGCAUGGUAUUUCUGAAAAUAAUUUAAAAGGAGGAGGAGGCCUACCUGAAGCAGCCUAGUGUUAACUGCAAAGGUCUCAGAAGUGAUGUAGCUGAGCAGGAUCUGUCAAAGCUUUGAUGAGUUAAUAGUGAAGAACAUCAGCGAUGAAAUGCAUUUUCUGUUGGUUGACCUUUUAAAUUAUUUGAUAUUUCUUCUAGUGUUAUUUUUAAAUGAGCCUUUAUUGAAAAAAUGAUGCCAGCAUCUUACUUCACUUUUUUUCCCUCCACCUUCACCCAUUUUUAUUUAGCUCCCCUUCUCCCCUCCUUUUUUUUUUUAAGUAUAUUUUAAUAUGUCUAAGUGCUGUCAGGAUUAUGAAGCAGAAUCAGUGAGAUGUCCCCUGUUGUGCCUCAAAUAUUAUUCUAAGUAGUAACUGAGAGGAAGAAACUGGAGAUAAUAUCCUGAAAUAGAUCUUAAGAACAGCCUGAAAGGAUGGACCAUGACCUUGGUACCUUCUGUGCUUAUUUUGGAAGGGUUCUGGAAAGUCCAUAUAGUUAAACUGUGGGUGAUUAUCCAUGUGAGAUUCCUCUUCUGCCCAUACUACAAGUUUUUCCUUUCUUUAUAACUAAUUAACUUUAUAGCUGGUUCUAGACAUGGUUGUGUUUACAGCCUGUAGAAUUAAAACUCAGUAACCGUGGCAUAUAACAAUGAUCCCGGGUGUCUGGCAGCCUUUCACCAAUUCAGCACAUUUUUUUAAGCUGUAGGAUUGGGUUCCCGGGUCUGUGUUAGCAGUUUAAUUGUCUUCGCAGCUCCAUUCCUAGCGCAGUAGGACAGCUUAGAGUGCAUUUCCUACUGGAUUUAGAAAUUCUUUUCUAUAUGGAGUCUGAACUUUCAUACCUAGUAAGAAAGGUUUAAAACACCCCCCCAAAAAAAUUGCUGAGUGGAUGAAGCCUAGCUCGGAAUGUAUUUCAUGACUACUGAUGGAUACCUUGAAGGCCAGCAAAGAAGCUUUGGAGUAUUGCUUCCUCCAUUUGACAGCCUUGUUGCUAAAGUAUGGAGACUCCUACUUCACAGGCAUGGCUAAGUUUGGGCCCAGAGCAACCCACUUGGUACAUCAUGGAGAGGAGAAAGGCAAGGCUCUUCUUUAGACUGUUGCAUGUAUACUUGAAGAGCUUUGGCAUGAUGGAAUAAGUGACUACUCUGCAGAUUUUGAAAUGAAGCUUAAAAAUAUAUGUCCUGGUUUAUGGUUUACAUUUUGCUUGAGCAGCUGGAGAAGCCAACAGCUAUUAAAUCUAAAUAUAAAAUCUCUGGUUAAAAAUACGUAUUUGUUUUCCUUUCUUAUGCCAAUCAAAGUUCAUUUCUAUGUGUAAUACAAGGAAUUGCAUCUUUUCCAUUUAGUACAGUGAUCUUAGUUCUCACUUCAUUCAAGCUCAUUUUGAAAAGCAGAGGACUGCCUUGGCUUUUAAAAGGCUGUGGCAAAAGGAUUGAAAAUACUUGGAUAACAAUUGUGGUUUUGCAUGAGGCUUACAUUAGCAAGGUAGUGUAAUAGGACUGCCAGUGCCACGGACUGGGUCUUUAGUAGGUUGUAAGAAAGCACACAUUCCUUGCUUCAAAUCAGUUAAUGUAGGUGGUAAGCACCAUCAUCACUAUGUGGAGACAAAGGUUACCCUUUAAAAUGAAGGAGCUGCUUGUAGUGGUGGUCUCUCUUGUCCACUGCCCUGUAAUGGAUGGUUGAGAAGAAUAGGCAGUAGAAUCUUCUGAAUUAACCUGUCACUGGGAUGGUUCUUGUGACCUCUCAAAAUGGGUGUGUAAAACUGCCUUUUAGCCCUUUAUUCUUGUUUUGUAUAUAUGAUACUGUAUAAACUGACAGUUCUAGGUUUGAUGCUUUGAAUAUUGACAAAGUGCUUUGACUAUUUACUUCCAGUGCCCAUCUUGCCUUUUGCUAUAAGCUGUAAUUGUGAUGGUUGAGUAGAUAACAUGCCAUGUCUUCCAUUUAUUUGUAUGCACAUUGGGUUGCGAUCUAAUCUCGCUGACUCCUUGCUUGAUCUCUUUUGCUCAGGAAAAAUCUUUAUGAAUUUUUAAGAAAAGACAGUCUAAGCUUGUCUGCCUUAUUCAAAUUGCCUAUUUUAUUUAUUAAAUUAGGUCUUCCAGCUAAUCUGACUGUCACUAUAAUUUAAAUGUGAGAGAGGAGGUGGAUUUGUUGACCACUGAAUUGCGUUUAGUUUUAUUACCUUGAGAAAACUGCAAGUCAAACUAAAAUUAUAGUGAUGGUAGAUUGUUACAGUCCAUAGGGUGCAGGAGAAGGACAGUGUAACAUGAUAUCUGCCUUGUGGAUUUCAUCAUGUAGUAAUCACUGAGUUGAUGUUGCCCAUAAUCUACCUUUUAGCAACGUAAAUGUCUAAAAAUACUAUAAUUGGGAUAAUCAUUUGCUUUCCUGAGCAAUGAGGAAAAAAAAUUUUCAGAUGCAUAUUACAGUCUGUAGGUACUAUUUUACAAGUCUGGUCAGAAGAGCUACAAUUCUGCUAUUGAAGGGGAAAAGUGUGAUGGAAAUGAACAAAUUGCAUUAGUACUAUUUUGAAAUGUAAUAAUAUGUUAAAAUUAGUUUUCCCAAGGUAGUUUAACCUUUGUGACUAAGUGUGCAAGGUAUGCUGAUAGAAGAAAUGUAUAGAUAAAAAAAUGAAAGCCUGCAAAAAAUAGUUUUAAAAGAGUGAGCUUCCUGAGUUGGUAAUGCUGAUGAGAUCUUUACUUGGCCUGCUAGAAAGUAAUCUGUCCUGCUCACUGUAGUUUUUAACUCCCUGUACCUUUGUUUUCACAACUAAUCACUUACAGAAGUUAUCUAUACAUCAGAUUGAGAAUAAUCUAAAUGUAAUCCUAGGAGAGAAAUCCUGUGAAUAUGCCUCUCCUGCUGCUUGCAGUAUUGUGCUGUAAUGGAGUUGAGCUUUUCUGUAUUUACCACUCACAAUCCAUCUGUACAAAGUUGCAGAUGCUAUUUUUUUUCACAAGAAAAUAUAGAUGCUAACGUUGUUGGUGCUGACACAAAGCUCUAACUACUGUCCUUCAGGAGCAGGGACUCAGCGUCUCAGGAAAGUGACUGGGCAGAGGUAGAGGUGGAACAGUAUAUUAAUAAUUUGUCCUUAGUGAGCAAUUUGUAUCUUACAAGUCUUAUUUAUUUUCAUAUAUAUAUACAUUGAAAAAUCACUCCCUUCUUCCUCAAAACUCUGAGUUCGUCAAACAAUUGUAAUUAGUACACUGGGAUUUAGUCUACCAGUGUCUGCUGACCUACGUGUUCCUGCUGUUCUAGGCCCGGUGCUUGGUUUGCCUGACUUCUGGCUCUGUUAGGACGUCUUGCAUUCAGCAGCCUUUUCUAUACACUGACUUGAGUUUCAAGGGAGAGAUGGAAGGAAUUUCCCUUUCCACAGCCAAAUCUUUGACUGUAGCUGAUGCCCAACCUGCUGGGUUGCUAAUCCCUAUUUCAAAGUGUCCGUUUUGUUUUUCUUUACUCAAGUUCUUUUCCUCACUUUCUCUACUCUUAAAUCUUGGUUAUUAUAGGAAUACUGAAUUCCAGUGACAAAAUCUUUCACUUUGUCUUCUCAGGUGCCAUAUAUAAUCAGGGGAAGCUUAUUAGCAGGACUGUGAUAAACAUGCCUGUUAUUGCAGGAUUUGUAUUUCUUUCAUCAGCACAGCCUCUUAUUGUUGUAAUGCACAUAUUUACUGAUGGGAAAAGGGCUGUUGUAAGGGUAUUUCUAGGACUGUGCUGUAGUCUAAGGAAAUUCAGAAAGGCUGGUUGCAGCCUGUCCCAAUUGCCACCUUUUCUGGGAGCUUUCUUGCAUAGUUUCUCUAGCCAUGAAUUUACAAAAGUACCUCAACACACCAGGGAAAAAAAACUGAGUGGGAUCCACUGGAUAUGGGGGCAGAUAAUGCCUUGUACAAAUGUUAUGGUGUUCGGAGGCUUUCUUCCCAGUCUGCUAGACUUGGAUCUCAGACAUUUUCGUUAGAAUUUUGGAUCUAAUUCAGUGUAUGUAUUUCUUCUUUCUUUUUUUAAAAAAAUGAAUGUUUGUAUUUUCUUAGCAGGUAGCCUCUAUAGUUUCAGAGGGUGGGAAGACAGAAUGUAUUUAUGUUGAGGGUUCUUUACCUGCAGUGCAUGCUGCUAGGCUUUCUUUUUCCCCCUCAUUUCUCUCCAUUCCUAUGCCCUACCCAACCCCCAUUUUGAGGAUUCCUUUGAUCUUAACCAAAACCUUCUAGGCUUUGACGGCUGUCCAAUUAGCCUAGCAGAAGUUAUAUCAGUCUCUUUAGGACAUGUAGCACUAAAAGAAGAAUUGCACAAUGGGCUUUUCUUCUGCCCCCAAGCAAAUAAGAUUGAUAGAAGGUAAAUUUUGAUUAUAUACAGGCUUUGGAGCUGGAAUGUCUUUGAGCUCUUAAUUUCAAGCUAUUCAACCAAAAAUCUGCUUUAGAAAUGAUCAUCAGCUUGAUGUGUAUACAUUGUGAAUAAAACCUUCAUCUUCAAACCUAUAUCUCAGUUUUUGAGGCUUAUUUUUUUGUUGUUGACAGUCUGUACAAAAUGCUAAUGGCAAAACUGUCUCAUGGUGGUUUUAGUGCUUGCCUUCUUGAGGUUCAGUGUCUCAGCAGGGUACACAUCCAGCGUAAAAGGUUAUAAAGAUAAUGACUUGAUGAAAUUAUGCUGUUAAAAGUGACAUCACUGCAACAGGCGUAAGUGACAUCUGGCUGUGAUCAGAAACAUAUGCUCUUGGGUUUUGUUUUGUUGUUCUCUCUCACACCUGGAUAGCGCAACUCCGGGUUUACUUCCUUUGAAUGACAAAAAGACAGGUCUCAUGCUUUUCUGCUAUGAAAGUCCUUACAAAUAUAUAAAAGCUAAUUUUUCAUAUGUAAAGUCACAGGAUGAGAACUAUCAAGCAGUUUUUCUUGCUACUGUUGAACCCUGUUGUAUCGUGGCCCUUUGCCCCACAGAUAGAAGACUUCUCAACUCCUUCAACCAGCCACUGGCUGUUGUUACUGCUUGGCUGGAGUUACAGGUGAUGCUCAUGAUGUCAGUGUUGCUACUUCGGCUUCUGACUGGAUCACACAAAUGUGGAAUUGAGUUCAACAUAUUAAAAUCUAAAGAACCACUUCCAUAUUUUAUAUCAUUUAACAAGACAGAUUUUUCAAGAAAAAUAUGUGAGAAAAUCUGGGUAAGUCUAACAGCUUUCAUGACUCAACUGGAUUUCCCAGCUUUGUCUUAGAAUCCAUUUGGAGAGAAUUUCUACUGGUCACUUUUAGAUGAUGAUAAUUUUCUAAUCUAUCCAACAGACACUCAUUCAAGCAGUGACUGAGCAAUAGCAUUGAAAGAAUCAGAGAGUUAUUUGUUUAAAUAAUUGAAUUAAAGCAUCCACUUAAUUGGGAAAGAUGAGAUUUAUGAAAUAAAGUUUGCAAAAUGAAAUGGAGUGUAGAUGAGUGUCAGUUGACUACUGUCUUGCCUUAUACAUUCUCAAAAGGAUUUUGCAUAUAAUAUGGUAAUUUAGAUUUUUUAAAAGUUAUUGUUAUUUUAUACACUGAACAGUUAUAUUUUUAAACAGUUUUGGUAUUCAUAUAUACAAAAUCUUUUCCUGAAACAUUGUUCACUGUAGAAUAGUGUAGUCUGGAAAAUAUUUUGGAUCAAAAUAAUCUUUAGUAUAUGUUUACUUUUAGACAUCUUGUGUUGUUAAGAUGGGGAAAGAAGUUUAAAAGAUGUGUUGUAAGAAGAGAUUGGAGGUAGAGUUUAGCUGUGAUCUUUAGAGAGUACUUGUAAAAUUGCUAAUGUUUUGAAAAGUGCUGUGAAGAUUGAUUCUCAUUUGCUCUGAUUUUAUUCAGUUAACCUUAUUGAGAAGAUACAUUUGUGCUUCGGUUAAGAAGGCAAGACAAAUACAGUUGUGAUAAUUCUUGUGAUUUAAUAUGUCAUUUUCUCCCUUGUUUUAAGAAUGUCCUGUACAUUUUGAAGAGCUGGUGGAAGUAUUUGACAAAAGAUUCUUACUGAAACCAAGUUGAGCAAUGUUUUUAUAGUAAUUAUUUGAAAAGUGUAAUUUGUUGCCAACUCCCACAAAUUUUGAGUGAAUGAAAAUAAAUAUCCCAAGACAAGAACACAGAUUGAUUUUAUGAAAAAGAAUAGUAUGCUUUUCCAGUUUUUCUUGCAUGCUUCACAAAUAUAGGUAAAUAUUUUGCAGUGCUUCUUGCCUACCAAGAAAUGAAUCUAAAUAAAAGAUGGUCUUAUUUUCUGGCCUUAGAAGUAUCUUUGUAUAGAAAAUUACUUUUGAAAUUUAAAUUCUGAAUAGGAAGAACUUCAGAGAUUAAAAAAGACAAAAAAAGUAGAUAUAUAGGGGUUCCUUGAGAAUUGCGUAUACAUAUCUUGUAAACGGAUUUGAAUAAAAAGAAAAUUGGAAGUA